AGGCCCUUGAUAAGUCACAAGGCAUCCCAAACUCUCACAUGACACGGGCUGAAUCCUAAAGUAAGGACCUCUCAGUUCCCACCAGGGGCAUGGCGACAUGAUUGUUGGAUCCUGACUGAGUUUCCUGGACCAGAGAGAAGAAAACUAACGUUGACUUGUAACUCUCUCAUCAUCUCUGUCGUUUCACAUUGCUCAUCCACUGUGCUGUGUCCAAUCACUUUAUAUAUGAAUGAUAGAGAUGUUACUGAAGAAUCUUCCGGAAAGGUGACAGCGAAGAAAUCAUAACCAAAUCCUGCCUUUCACCAAAUUAAAUUCAGUUCCUUUAUACAACUUA